rnacentral:rRNA from 1 species
AUACGUAGGUGGCAAGCGUUAUCCGGAAUUAUUGGGCGUAAAGAGUGAGCAGGCGGUUAAUUAAGUCUGAGGUUAAAGCGUGGGGCUCAACCCCAUAAAGCCUUGGAAACUGCUUGACUAGAGUACGGGAGAAGUGAAGGGAACUCCAUGUGUAGCGGGGAAAUGCGUAGAAAAAUGGAAGAACACCAGGGGCGAAGGCCCUUCCCUAGCCCGAAACGAACGCUCAGCCCGGAAAGCGGGGGUAGAAAAUAGGAUUGGAUACCUAGUAGUCCACGCUGUAAACGAUGACAACUAAAUAUUGCCGCGAGGCAGUGUUGAAGCUAACGCAUUAAGUUGUCCGCCUGGGGAGUACGGUCGCAAGACUGAAACUUAAAGGAAUUGACGGGG